UACGGGGGGGGGCAAGCGUUGUUCGGAAUUACUGGGCGUAAAGGGCUCGUAGGUGGCCAACUAAGUCAGACGUGAAAUCCCUCGGCUUAACCGGGGAACUGCGUCUGAUACUGGAUGGCUUGAGUUCGGGAGAGGGAUGCGGAAUUCCAGGUGUAGCGGUGAAAUGCGUAGAUAUCUGGAGGAACACCGGUGGCGAAGGCGGCAUCCUGGACCAAUACUGACGCUGAGGAGCGAAAGCCAGGGGAGCAAACGGGG
rnacentral:rRNA from 1 species